rnacentral:rRNA from 1 species
AUGAAAAUUGUACCUUACAGAAAAGGAUUUGGUUGCAAGAAAAAUGACAAGGAUAACUGGGGUAUUGCAGGGGCCACUAAUGAGGUGGCGACCCUGAAGGAGGCGGUGGCCGCGGCCGAACGCAAUGCGGCUGCGGAGCGCACCGAUCGAGAGAAACAGGAGGCGCGGGUGGCGGAGGUACAGCAAGAGCUCCAGGAUCUCGUGAAGAAACACGAGAGCCUGGAGCGUGACUCGAAGACUCGAGAGUUUGAGCUUGCAACGGCUCUUGAGAGUGCCAAAGCCGCUAAGGCCGAAGCCUACAAGGCCCUCCAGGAGAUAGAGGCGGUGAAGAAAAUAGCAGCGGGUAAGGCAUUUUUCAUGCAAAGUAUGCAUGUGAGUGUUAAUUACCUGUUGCUUACCCGAAUUCGGAGCUCUCCAGGAGCGUUCGCAGAUCUUCCCCGCAGCGUGUGCGAUGCUGCCGCAUUCUACCGGGCCGAGGAGGGGAGCUCAACGGAGAAGGUCUUCUGGUCUCAGUAUGCUGAGGCCGGACAUCCGGUGCCCCUGAGCGACCAGCUGAAGCAGCUGGUCGAGCUCCACAAGGCGGCCGAACAGGCCAUGAAGGGCCUCAUAGUUCGGCUGUGGCCUAAGGAGGCUAUACCUGGGAGCUACUUUGGCCUGGUGCGGCGGCUGGUGGACGCGUGCCCGUGGGUUGAAGUUAUCAAGCACUCCGCCUGUAUCGAGGGUGCGUGUCGGGCCCUUGCCCGCGCAAAGGUGCACUGGGGCAGGAUGGAUGCCCAAAAGCUUGUGACGGACCCCCCACCAGAGGGCAAGGAGCAUCGCACGCCUGAGAUGUAUUAUAGGAGUGUGCUGAAGGGCGCCCGCAUUAUUGCGGGUGAGUGCUCCAAAGAAGAAGUUUUUGAGUAG